AUUAGAAGAAGAAGAAAACCGUAGCUGGUUGUAGCAGGUUGUGGGAAUUACUGCAUGCUAUAAGAUAAAUUCUUGAUCAAUUCCGGUAACGGUUAAGAGAAAAGAAGAUCCGUGACCUGAUCCCUGGCAGUAAAACACAUUUUUACUGUGAUUUUCUCUGGUGGGUUUUUUUUAGAACCCCAUUCAACUUUGAAGACUGUCCAGCUGCACAUCAUCGCAGUCCUGGAUUGGAUUGCUGAGCUCCAGGUUUCAACCCAAGACCUGGGACUGCUGGAUCCGCUGCCUACUUUGCACUGGAUAAGAUAAGAUUUUGAAUCCAAAGAAACACAUGGCCAUUUAACAAAGACUUGACUGACUGACUUAAAUUACUGAACUAAAAAAAAAAAGAAAAAACUUCCAAAGGACGAA